rnacentral:rRNA from 1 species
UACGUAGGUGGCAAGCGUUGUCCGGAAUUAUUGGGCGUAAAGCGCGCGCAGGUGGUUUCUUAAGUCUGAUGUGAAAGCCCACGGCUCAACCGUGGAGGGUCAUUGGAAACUGGGGAACUUGAGUGCAGGAGAGAAGAGUGGAAUUCCACGUGUAGCGGUGAAAUGCGUAGAGAUGUGGAGGAACACCGAUGGCGAAGGCAGCCCCCUGGGCUGAGAUUGACGCUCAGGCACGAAAGCGUGGGGAGCAAACAGG